rnacentral:rRNA from 1 species
AUUGAACGCUGGCGGCAGGCUUAACACACGCAAGUCGAGCGGGGGAAGGUAGCUUGCUACUGGACCUAGCGGCGGACGGGUGAGUAAUGCUUAGGAAUCUGCCUAUUAGUGGGGGACAACAUCUCGAAAGGGAUGCUAAUACCGCAUACGUCCUACGGGAGAAAGCAGGGGAUCUUCGGACCUUGCGCUAAUAGAUGAGCCUAAGUCGGAUUAGCUAGUUGGUGGGGUAAAGGCCUACCAAGGCGACGAUCUGUAGCGGGUCUGAGAGGAUGAUCCGCCACACUGGGACUGAGACACGGCCCAGACUCCUACGGGAGGCAGCAGUGGGGAAUAUUGGACAAUGGGGGGAACCCUGAUCCAGUCAUGCCGCGUGUGUGAAGAAGGCCUUAUGGUUGUAAAGCACUUUAAGCGAGGAGGAGGCUACUCUAGUUAAUACCUAGGGAUAGUGGACGUUACUCGCAGAAUAAGCACCGGCUAACUCUGUGCCAGCCGCCGCCGUAA